rnacentral:rRNA from 1 species
UACAGAGGGUGCAAGCGUUAAUCGGAAUUACUGGGCGUAAAGCGUGCGUAGACGGUUACGUAAGUCGGGUGUGAAAGCCCCGGGCUCAACCUGGGAAUUGCAUUCGAGACUGUGUAGCUAGGGUGCGGAAGAGGGAAGCGGAAUUUCCGGUGUAGCGGUGAAAUGCGUAGAUAUCGGAAGGAACAUCAGUGGCGAAGCGACUC